rnacentral:rRNA from 1 species
AUUGAACGCUGGCGGCAGGCUUAACACAUGCAAGUCGAACGAUGACUCUCUAGCUUGCUAGAGAUGAUUAGUGGCGGACGGGUGAGUAACAUUUAGGAAUCUACCUAGUAGUGGGGGAUAGCUCGGGGAAACUCGAAUUAAUACCGCAUACGACCUACGGGUGAAGGGGGGCGCAAGCUCUUGCUAUUAGAUGAGCCUAAAUCAGAUUAGCUAGUUGGUGGGGUAAAGGCCUACCAAGGCGACGAUCUGUAACUGGUCUGAGAGGAUGAUCAGUCACACCGGAACUGAGACACGGUCCGGACUCCUACGGGAGGCAGCAGUGGGGGAAUAUUGGACAAUGGGGGCAACCCUGAUCCAGCCAUGCCGCGUGUGUGAAGAAGGCCUUUGGUUGUAAAGCACUUUAAGCAGGGAGGAGAGGCUAAUGGUUAAUACCCAUUAGAUUAGACGUUACCUAGCAGAAUAAGCACCGGCUAAC